AUGGCUCCCACCUCACUCGGAAUAAAACUUGGAUUCUUCUGGAUUAUUCUUCCAGGCCCUGCAUCAUCUGGCCUUGCCUCUGACCUCAUCUCCCAUUACUCGCUUUAUUCUAGACUCACCAUUUGUUCCUAUGAACCCAACAUCCCAACGUCCUACCUAAGAGCCUUUGAACUUGCCUGGUUGAUGCUUCUCCUUCAAACUGGUGCCAAGUGAGAAGUUAUUACUCUUUCCAGGCUGGCUGCUCCCUCUCCAGUCUACAACUGACUCUCAAAUUAUGCUGAUACAAAAAACUCAGAGGAAAAACAGAGACGCUAAGGUAGACACAGCAAGGCACUGUGGACCGCCGAGUCCCCAAGCCCUCUGACACCGGUCACUGGCAGGAGGACUGGGGCUUCGGUUCUGAGUGAACCGUGAGCAUUCAUAAAGGGGAAGAUCCUGAGAGAGGCCUCUCUGAUGCAUCCGAAUGUGGUUUGUUAACCGGGAAGGCUGUGUGGACGAACAGGUACCAGGAGCACCAGGGUGGCAUGAAGGACGCACAGACUCAGGACAAGAGAGACCCAGGCAUUUUCUGCUCUCUCGAUGUGUGACCUGAGCCUGUCCUCCCUUUGGCCACAAGUGGAGUUUGGGUUCUGGGGCACCAGCAAGCCGCUGGGGGAGG
rnacentral:lncRNA from 1 species